rnacentral:piRNA from 1 species
ACCCAGAGGUCGAUGGAUCGAAA